GUAGCAUUUCGCUAUAGCAAAUGGUUAUAAGUGUACACAUCAAGCAGCCAUGGAGCAACAUUAGCAUUCAUUUCGAGUCGUGCCAAAUUGGACUUGGCGCUGUCAGAGCUUCAGCCUCCUGUCAAUCCCAGCAUCCCACUGGACACGUGUUGUGCAGCUGGGGAAAGGAUCAAAGGCACCACGCCACAGUGAGUCAUCAUCAAAGUGAAGAGCAGCCCUCUGACAUCCCACCCGGCUGUUAGUCACUGACUCAGGGGGCGUAGAUGACUAGUUGCCCAACGUAUACA